AAGUCGUAACAAGGUUUCCGUAGGUUUAACACGUAUCCAACGUUAAACCCCCCGUGAACCUUCAGUGCGCUCGCACUUUCUUAGAAAAGGUAGCAAUCCCUGGUAAAUCAUUGCCGAACAGUUUUGAUUCAGGGACUUCUGCGUAGACUGUGCUUGAGCGUGAGGCAAGUGGCCUGGCAUUCCUCUGCUUGUUGGUGUCUGAAAGUGUCACCAGCUCUGUACGAAUGGCGCAGUCACGAUCGCUAGAGGCCGACACGGCCGGCGACCGGGUCACUGGGCGCGAGCCCCCCUCGUCACCUUUGCAUGAAAACGGGCCUGCGCUUAAUUGUGCGGCCACCAAACUCGAACAACUGUUAACAAUGGAUAUCUUGGUUCUC
rnacentral:misc_RNA from 1 species